GUCUCUCUCUCUCUUUGAAACCGAAUUGAUCUCUUCUUCUUUUUUCUGUUCUAUACAAGUACGCACGAGUUAACUGAAACCCAAAGCACUCCAAGCUACAAGGACAUAUUCAGAUGGGAGUGUCACCAAACUGUGGCAAACUAAACUAGCACAUUGGAUUUGAUUGGCCCUAAAAGGCUAACUGCAAGCAAAGACUGGAGGAAGGAAGGAUCACCGGUCGAUGCUGCAGCAGCCCGCUGUUGAAGGCGUGGUGGUCCAGGCAGUGGAGGAAGACGAGGAGCAGAACAGGCCAUUGGUGGCCUGCUAGGUGCGCCCCUCCUCCUCGAGCGGGGCAAGGACGGCAGCCGCUAGGCUCGUCGAGCUCGGAAUCCUAUGGGAGGAAGGCCUCCGCGCCGCCCUGUCCCGAGAUCCAGCGCUUCGACCCGUCCGCGUGAUGGGUGACCUGCAGCAAGGGAUUGAAAAAGAAGGUGAGGUAGGGUGAGGAAGGGAGGUUGGGCUGGCAGUUGCUGCGGAUCCCGGCGAGGAUGGAGAGGGUGUACCUACUUGAGCCAGGCCGACGUUGGAGCCGCCAAAUCCCUAGCCGUGGGUGAGGGUAGGGGCCACGCCCGGCGGAUCUGGCCAUACUGGAUGAAGGACCGGUGAGAGGGGAGCGCGGAAGCCUGCUGCGCCCCGGUGGAAAUCGCCGGAACCCGCCGGCGUGGGCGGCGGCGGUGGCAUGGAGUCGCGUAGGGAGAGGGGGACUCGCGCGCGCGAGAGAGGAUAAGCAAAUCGAGCGGGUGGAGAAGGUAGAUCAGCUCGAGAGGGAGCAGUAGGUGGCAAGUACGGCGGCGAAGCAUGCCGGCAGUGGCCGGAAUCGAGCGGCGGCGCCGGCGGCGGAGACAGAGGGGAUCGGGCAGGAGAGCUGAGAGAGAUAUCGAGGGAGAAGUGAGAGAGAGAUGGAUGGAUUGGGUGGGUUUUUUU
rnacentral:lncRNA from 1 species